rnacentral:rRNA from 1 species
UAGUCCACGCCGUAAACGAUGGAUACUAGGUGUUUGGAGUGUUAACCCUCUGAGUACCAAAGCUAACGCAUUAAGUAUCCCGCCUGGGGAGUACGGUCGCAAGGCUAAAACUCAAAGGAAUUGACGGGGGCCCGCACAAGCGGUGGAGUAUGUGGUUUAAUUCGAAGCAACGCGCAGAACCUUACCUGGGUUUAACAUCCCACGACAACCUCAGAGAUGAGGCUUUCCCUUCGGGGACGUGGUGAUAGGUGCUGCAUGGCUGUCGUCAGCUCGUGUCGUAAGAUGUUCGGUUAAGUCCGGUAACGAGCGCAACCCUUGUCUUCAGUUGCCACCAUUAAGUUGGGCACUCUGGAGAGACUGCCGGUGUUAAACCGGAGGAAGGCGGGGAUGACGUCAAGUCCUCAUGGCCCUUACGCCCAGGGGCUACACACGUACUGCAAUGGCAGAAACAAACCGUUGCAAGACCGCGAGGUGGAGCUAAUCGGUAAAACACUGUCUCAGUCCGGAUUGGAGUCUGCAACUCGACUCC